rnacentral:lncRNA from 1 species
UAUUUUUAAUAAAUUUAAAUGGUACAGAAAUAACAUUUGCAGAAUAUAUAUAUUGAAUUGAAUUGAUAUAUUAUUAAAGGUAUCAAUAAUAUACAUGUGGCGUUGAAGUUGUUAGAAGCUGAUAUUUUACAUUUUAAAUAAAGUUGUAUCCUUGAAAGAUAUGCUGGUAUUAUUGACACAAUGGGCAAGCAUUGAAGGGCAACUUGGUGAACUACAAAACACAUCAAAAGCAAUUAUAAAAAAUUGAGUAACAAAAGUAUGAUAAUUAUUGUAUUGCCUGAAAGAGUGUCAUUGUCAUUAAAAGCAGUGAAGAAAUCAAGUACUCUGGAAGAAAAAAGACAAGAAAACACUUAAGUAAACGGUUAAUUAUUUGGCACAAAUUGGAGUUAAAGACGAAGGAGAUUGUAUAUGUUAUUUACUAAGAAUAGUUUUUUAUAAUAGCCUAGCUGUAAAAUUAAAUUAUGCAACGAGAGGAAAAAAAAUUGGAAUAGGAAAAAUGUUGAUUGUAUAUGCUGCUAUUGAAACUGUGAAGUCAAAUAAGCAUGGCUUAUGCAGACAUGUGAUAGA